UUUCUUAACCAAAAUACCAGCAUAAUAAGUACAUCCACUGUAGUGAUAAGAGGAUAAGUAUAGCAGUACAAAAGUGUUAAAACUCCCCAAAACUCGACGCCACAAGUACAUGAGUAAUCUAGAGAAUAUACAAAAUUACUAUAACUACUGUUUGAAAGUGAUAGACAAAAAUUAUAAACAUGGAAGAGGGAGGCUCCGAUGAUGCAGAUCAUAGCAAGGCAAGCAACUCACCACUAAAUCUCCGUAGAUGAUCGGCUAUGCGCUCGCGUGCCACUGGUAGUACAUGUCUCAGUACCUGCACAUCAGUGCAGAAGUGUAGUGUGAGUAGGAAAAAUAAUACGUACCUAGUAAGUAUCUAGUCUAACCUCAAAGAAGUAGUGAUGAGGAGUCGACUUGACACUUACUAGAGGUCAAAUAACAAUAUAAAUACAUAAAGUAGACAUGAUGAGUGUACAACAAAUAGCAACGAAGCAGAUAAAGUUACUACAGUAAGUCCACACAUGAGUCUAUAUCAAGUAACAAAACACGUCAUAAUCGGCCUUGGAGGCGCUAACUCGAUAAUUAACAAACCAAAUCCAGUUCCAAUUAUUAAGUACGAAGUUGCCGAGCCGAACGACCCGAUCCCAUAGGAAUAGUGAUACUCAGUACUGCCGAGGCGAACGACCCGAUCUCAUAAGAGUAGUGAGGUUUACCUCGCUCGCGGAAGCACUUGCGAGACGAGAAGACACAGAUUUAUAGUUUAUCAAGUAUUUUUCAAUUUUUCUAAAGUAAGAAGCUAAGUCGUUAUCUUCAAUUUAAACCCUCAGUCUCAGUCCUAAUCAAGAUAAUUGAUACAGAUGAUAGGCAUAAACAGUACAAAUAAAGGCAUGAUGUGAAUUUAAGUCUACCUGGACAUAUCAUGAAUAUAGCUAUGUACGUACUCUCGUCACCUCGUACGUACGUAACUCCCAUAACAAGUAGCACACAACAAUAAUACACCUAAGAGGAUAAGUUCUCUUUUACAAGAUUAGACAAGAGACUUACCUCGGUCCCAAGUCCUCAAUCCGGCUCUUCAACCUCAC
rnacentral:lncRNA from 1 species